UUUAAUACCUGCUAAGGGAGAUACCAUAAUCAUGAAGCUGGUUUUCCCAAGGCAAGGCUCAUCCAUUAUAGUGUGGAUUUGCUGAUUUCUGUGAUUUCCCCAAAUGUGAGAAACUUGGCAUAAUUUGUAGCUAGGGCCUAG
rnacentral:snRNA from 1 species